rnacentral:rRNA from 1 species
UACAGAGGUCUCAAGCGUUGUUCGGAUUCAUUGGGCGUAAAGGGUGCGUAGGUGGCGCGGUAAGUCAGGUGUGAAAUUUCGGAGCUUAACUCCGAAACUGCAUUUGAUACUGGCGUGCUUGAGGACUGGAGAGGAGACUGGAAUUCAUGGUGUAGCAGUGAAAUGCGUAGAGAUCAUGAGGAAGACCAGUGGCGAAGGCGGGUCUCUGGACAGUUCCUGACACUGAGGCACGAAGGCCAGGGGAGCAAACGGG